rnacentral:rRNA from 1 species
UACAGGGGGUGCAAACGUUGCUCGGAAUCAUUGGGCAUAAAGCGCACGUAGGCGGUUCGUUAUGUCGGAUGUGAAAGCCCUUGGCUUAACCGAGGAAGUGCAUCCGAAACUGGCGAGCUAGAGUACUAAAGAGGAUCGCGGAAUUCCCGGUGUAGAGGUGAAAUUCGUAGAUAUCGGGAGGAACACCGGUGGCGAAGGCGGUUCUCUGGGACGGUACUGACGCUGAGACGCGAAAGCGUGGGGAGCGAACAGG